rnacentral:rRNA from 1 species
UACGGGGGGGGCAAGCGUUAUCCGGAUUCACUGGGUUUAAAGGGUGCGUAGGAGGGCAGGUAAGUCAGUGGUGAAAUCUCCAAGCUUAACUUGGAAACUGCCGUUGAUACUAUCUGUCUUGAAUACCGUGGAGGUGAGCGGAAUAUGUCAUGUAGCGGUGAAAUGCUUAGAUAUGACAUAGAACACCAAUUGCGAAGGCAGCUCGCUACACGAAUAUUGACUCUGAGGCACGAAAGCGUGGGGAUCAAACAGG